rnacentral:hammerhead_ribozyme from 1 species
GUUCACCUAACGAGUCCCAAAUAGGACGAAGCGUACUUCCUGGAU